rnacentral:rRNA from 1 species
GGGAAGUAGCUUGCUACUUUGCCGGCGAGCGGCGGACGGGUGAGUAAUGUCUGGGAAACUGCCUGAUGGAGGGGGAUAACUACUGGAAACGGUAGCUAAUACCGCAUGACCUCGNAAGAGCAAAGUGGGGGACCUUCGGGCCUCACGCCAUCGGAUGUGCCCAGAUGGGAUUAGCUAGUAGGUGAGGUAAUGGCUCACCUAGGCGACGAUCCCUAGCUGGUCUGAGAGGAUGACCAGCCACACUGGAACUGAGACACGGUCCAGACUCCUACGGGAGGCAGCAGUGGGGAAUAUUGCACAAUGGGCGCAAGCCUGAUGCAGCCAUGCCGCGUGUGUGAAGAAGGCCUUAGGGUUGUAAAGCACUUUCAGCGAGGAGGAAGGGUUCAGUGUUAAUAGCACUGAGCAUUGACGUUACUCGCAGAAGAAGCACCGGCUAACUCCGUGCCAGCAGCCGCGGUAAUACGGAGGGUGCAAGCGUUAAUCGGAAUUACUGGGCGUAAAGCGCACGCAGGCGGUUUGUUAAGUCA